rnacentral:lncRNA from 1 species
GGAUUUUUCAGCUCCAAUUUAAUCUUAUGGGACCACCAUCGUAAAUACAAGAAGUCGGUGAUUCAUGCGUCAUCAUGCAGCUCACGACUGUCAUCCGUGUGUUGUGUAUAGCCUAUUAGGAGACCCACCUAGCUGGGAACUGAAGCCUCUUUCUAUCAGCCACAGGAAUGGGUUUGAAAAGAGAUUGCCCAGUGUCUUCAGAUGACUGCAGUCACGACUGACAACUUGGUGCAACUUCAUGAGAGAUGCUGAGCCACAACCACCCAGCUAAGUCAUGUUCACAUUCCUAACCCUCAGAAACUGUGUGAAAUAAUAAAUGUUUAAAUGUUUGUUGUAA